rnacentral:rRNA from 1 species
UGGCGGCGAGUGGCGAACGGGUGAGUAAUAUAUCGGAACGUACCCAAGAGUGGGGGAUAACGUAGCGAAAGUUACGCUAAUACCGCAUACGAUCUAUGGAUGAAAGCAGGGGACCGCAAGGCCUUGUGCUCCUGGAGCGGCCGAUAUCUGAUUAGCUAGUUGGUGAGGUAAAGGCUCACCAAGGCGACGAUCAGUAGCUGGUCUGAGAGGACGACCAGCCACACUGGAACUGAGACACGGUCCAGACUCC